rnacentral:rRNA from 1 species
UACGUAGGGGGCGAGCGUUGUCCGAAGUUACUGGGCGUAAAGCGCGCGUAGGUGGCCAUUUAAGUCCGCUGUGAAAGUCAAAGGCUCAACCUUUGAAAGCCGGUGGAUACUGGAUGGCUAGAGUACGGAAGAGGCGAGUGGAAUUCCUGGUGUAGCGGUGGAAUGCGCAGAUAUCAGGAGGAACACCAAUAGCGAAGGCAGCUCGCUGGGACGUUACUGACACUGAGGCGCGAAAGCGUGGGGAGCGAACAGG